rnacentral:rRNA from 1 species
CGCGAAGGCAAGCAAAGCCCAAAAAAGGACGUCCCAGUUCGGAUUGCAGCCUGCAACUCGGCUGCAUGAAGCUGGAAUCGCUAGUAAUCGCAGAUCAGAAUGCUGCGGUGAAUACGUUCCCGGGUCUUGUACACACCGCCCGUCACACCAUGGGAGUUGGGAAUGCCCGAAGUCAGUGACCCAACCGCAAGGAGGGAGCUGCCGAAGGCAGGCUUGAUAACUGGGGUGAAGUCGUAACAAGGUAUC